AUGGGAAGCCAAGGAGAGAGGCUUAAAAAAGAAAGUAAAUCACGAGAGGAAGAAGACGAGAACAGGACAUUGGAACAAAACAGUGUGCGUCAUCUCUUCGGACUUCAAUCUUAUAUACAGCAGGACAUUUAUUCAUCUUUGUGCUAUCUGUCAUUAGUGGUUGGUCCGUUUUCUACGACGAGAUCGGAUAUUUUUGAGCAGAUUGUAGAGAGAAUCGUUUGUCCAGCUCAAGUUCAGAGAGGAGUGACUCGUUUGGGCUGGUCAUCGGAUUCACCACGGCCUGCAGAGGACUGGAUUCAUGAGCAAGAGACUCUUCAGGACCGGGGACUACUGUCGAGAUUUACACACGAACACACGAGGAUUUAUGAAACCAUGGCCUCCAGAAUGAAUCUCUCUGAAGAACAUCACACACAGAUAAAGACAGUCAAGAGUCUGUGGCAGAAUGAAUCUCCUGAACCCAGCUGUGUGUCCAUGAAGAGUGACCGGUCAAUGGAUCCUCCAAUUAAGUUCAGCUCGGGAGACACAUCUGCUCAUCUGAGGUGUUUUUUUUUUUUUAGUUUACAGUAUGAGAAAUAUAUAUGAUAUUUAUGAUAUUCAUUAAUUUACUGAUAAGUUUUAAAUACAUUACUAUAUGUUUACAAAAGUAUUCAAUAUUUGUUUAACUACAGUCAAAAACAUAAAGGACUGCAAUCACAUACAGCAAAGAAGAACUUAGACUCCAUUUUUAAGGUUGGUUUUGUGUGUGUGUGUGUGUGUGUGUGUGUGUGUGUGUGUGUGUGUGUGUGUGUGUGUGUGUGUGUGU
ensembl:lncRNA